GCAUCGGUGGUGCAACGGUUAGCAUGCCCUCCUGGAAAGAGUGAGAUCUGAGUUUGAAUCCCGACAGACGCA